rnacentral:tRNA from 1 species
GCCCAAAGAGCAUGAGACUCUUAAUCUCAAGGUCGUGGGUUCGAGCCCCAUGUUGGGCG